rnacentral:rRNA from 1 species
UACGUAGGGUCCGAGCGUUGUCCGGAAUUACUGGGCGUAAAGAGCUCGUAGGCGGUUUGUCGCGUUGUUCGUGAAAACUCACAGCUCAACUGUGGGCGUGCGGGCGAUACGGGCAGACUAGAGUACUGCAGGGGAGACUGGAAUUCCUGGUGUAGCGGUGGAAUGCGCAGACAUCAGGAGGAACACCGGUGGCGAAGGCGGGUCUCUGGGCAGUAACUGACGCUGAGGAGCGAAAGCGUGGGGAGCGAACAGG